CACCUGCAGUUUAAGUUUGUAACCUCAGCAGUGAGAUCCCCUUGAAACUGAGGGAAUGAUCAUUAAGAGAUGCAGAGGGUCUAGCAAUAUAAAACAUGGAGUAAUACUUCCCAGAAUACUGUCCCAGCCUCCUGAAGCUUUUGGAUGGAGACUUGAAAUUCUCCCUUGAGUCUGUGAAGAAGCUGAAGGGGCUUAUGGAUGAGAACAGACACAUUAACCCUCGCUUUGUGCUUUCAAUGGCUAGCUACUCUCCAUGUGAUGAAAAAGAUCUCCCUGAGGAAUUCCAGUCUGUGUGCAAAAGAGAAGACGCAUCCAUGAUUUUUGAGAGGCUGAAGGAGAGAGUCCGUGCUGCCUUUCUAUCCCUCCUACGGCUGAUGGCCAACACUGGCUGUGAGCACCCUGCAGUACAGUUCCUGAUGUGCUGAGCUGAGCUGUAGCCUGCACAGAUCAGGCUGCUGUAACCAG